rnacentral:other from 1 species
GUGGGGCUGCGCGGUGCGUUAGGCCGCUUAUACCCCGGGGCCGAUAUCUACCGUUUGGGAGCUGUCCCUGUCGGAGUCGUGGCUUCGAUACAUGGCGCCCACCUGCGAUGCAGGGCCACGGUGGGUUUGCAACGCCGACGGCCGAGGCGGCUCCACC